UUUGCUUAAGUGUGAAUCUGGUGGUGUCUUUUAUUCAAUUCAAAGAAGAAGAAGUUUCUUUCCAUAAACAAGUUAUAAUCUUCUGGUUCUUGGAGUUUAUUUCGCAGGUAAAUGUUACUAGACAUCUAUAGAUCAUUCUCGUGGACUGUGGUUGAGUACGCUUGUUCUGAUUGCAACAUGCCUGCUAUGACAAAGAGUUUUGAGCACCACAAUUUUGGGCACAUAUUUGACAAGCUUACCGAAGAAAUUGGAAGUCCAGU